rfam:Schistosoma margrebowiei strain Zambia genome assembly, scaffold: SMRZ_scaffold0001377
AUCCAGCUGAUGAGUUCCAAAUAAAACGAAACACGCGUCCUGCAU